rnacentral:rRNA from 1 species
CAGCAGUGGGGAAUAUUGGACAAUGGACCAAAAGUCUGAUCCAGCAAUUCUGUGUGCACGAUGAAGGUCUUCGGAUUGUAAAGUGCUUUCAGGUGGGAAGAAGAAAGUGACGGUACCACCAGAAGAAGCGACGGCUAAAUACGUGCCAGCAGCCGCGGUAAUACGUAUGUCGCAAGCGUUAUCCGGAAUUAUUGGGCGUAAAGCGAGUCUAGGCGGCUUGUUAAGUCAGAUGUGAAAAUGCGGGGCUCAACUCCGUAUUGCGUUUGAAACUGGCAGGCUAGAGUACUGGAGAGGUGGGCGGAACUACAAGUGUAGAGGUGAAAUUCGUAGAUAUUUGUAGGAAUGCCGAUAGUGAAGACAGCUCACUGGACAGAUACUGACGCUAAAGCUCGAAAGCGUGGGGAGCGAACAGGAUUAGAUACCCUGGUAGUCCACGCCGUAAACGAUGUUCACUGGGUGUAGGGGGUCGAACCUCUGUGCCGAAGCUAACGCGAUAA